UACGGAGGGUGCAAGCGUUAAUCGGAAUCACUGGGCGUAAAGCGCACGUAGGCGGGCCUGUAAGUCAGAGGUGAAAGCCCACGGCUCAACCGUGGAACUGCCUUUGAUACUGCAGGUCUUGAGUCCUGGAGAGGCUAUCGGAAUUCGUGGUGUAGCGGUGAAAUGCGUAGAUAUCACGAGGAACACCGGAUGCGUAGGCGGAUAGCUGGACAGGUACUGACGCUCAGGCACGAAAGCGUGGGGAGCAAACAGG
rnacentral:rRNA from 1 species